rnacentral:misc_RNA from 1 species
UACUCUCACACUCUCUCUAAUUAGAGAGAGCGGUGGACUUGGGUGUUGCCUGAUAUUUACUGUCAGGCUCAUCUAAAAUCAGUUAGUGCGACUCCUAGUUAAACAUAGUACGGCGUGAUAAGUAAACCCUCGCUGUUUUCUGUCUGAUAAGGAGCUCUGUGCUUCAAACCGUCCUCGGACAAUGUCUGAUA